CCUCUUUCAGGCGCUUGGCCUUUUCGCUUUCAAUCUGGGCCUUGGCAUCGAGGUAUUCGAUUUUCGCCUCUCUGAGUUCCGCUUGCUGUUCUCGUUUCUCUUCCCUGCUGGCCAUUCAGAGGAACCCACACCCUCCUUUCUGCGAAUGUUCCCACACUCUUCCCAGAAG
rnacentral:ribozyme from 1 species